rnacentral:rRNA from 1 species
UACGUAGGGGGCUAGCGUUGUCCGGAAUCAUUGGGCGUAAAGCGCGUGUAGGCGGCCCGGUAAGUCCGCUGUGAAAGUCGGGGGCUCAACCCUCGAAUGCCGGUGGAUACUGUCGGGCUCGAGUGCGGAAGAGGCGAGUGGAAUUCCUGGUGUAGCGGUGAAAUGCGCAGAUAAUCAGGAGGAACACCGAUUGCGAAGGCAGCUCGCUGGGACGUUACUGACGCUGAGACGCGAAAGCGUGGGGAGCAAACAGG